CAUGAUGGCCAUCUGCUGUCGAGCUUCACCGCCUCACGCAGCAGGACUGACUCUGAUGACCUGUUUAGAGCAGAUCCAAAUCCUACUUCAGAAAGUGUAUAUGAGCAAAGGUCUGCACCUAAACGUUAUCAGAAGUGAGGUCUUAGACAAGACGAAGGGCAUAACCGAUGGCACCAGCGGGAGGUGAGUGCCGGUGGAGAUAA